rnacentral:rRNA from 1 species
GGGAUGAAAAUUCUAAGGCGCUUGAGAGAACUCAGGAGAAGGAACUCGGCAAAUUGACACCGUAACUUCGGGAGAAGGUGUGCCCUGGUAGGUUGUAGCCGUACAGGCGAAGGCCGAAGGGGUUGCAAAAAAUCGGUGGCUGCGACUGUUUAAUAAAAACACAGCACUCUGCAAACACGAUGAGUGGACGUAUAGGGUGUGACGCCUGCCCGGUGCCGGAAGGUUAAAUGAUGGGGUGCAAGCUCUUGAUUGAAGCCCCGGUAAACGGCGGCCGUAACAAUAACGGUCCUAAGGUAGCGAAAUUCCUUGUCGGGUAAGUUCCGACCUGCACGAAUGGCGUAACGAUGGCCACACUGUCUCCUCCUGAGACUCAGCGAAGUUGAAAUGUUUGUGAUGAUGCAAUCUACCCGCGGCUAGACGGAAAGACCCCGUGCACCUUUACUGUAGCUUUGCAUUGGACUGUGAUGGGAUCUGUGUAGUAUAGGUGGGAGGCUUUGAAGUGGGGGCGCUAGCCCUCAUGGAGCCGUCGUUGAAAUACCACCCUGAUGUCAUUGCGGUUCUAACCUUGGCCCCUUAGCGGGGUUGGGGACAGUGCAUGGUAGGCAGUUUGACUGGGGCGGUCUCCUCCCAAAGAGUAACGGAGGAGCUCGAAGGUACGCUAGGUACGGUCGGACAUCGUGCUGAUAGUGCAAUGGCACAAGCGUGCUUGACUGCGAGACUGACAAGUCGAGCAGGUGCGAAAGCAGGACAUAGUGAUCCGGUGGUUCUGAAUGGAAGGGCCAUCGCUCAACGGAUAAAAGGUACGCCGGGGAUAACAGGCUGAUUCCUCCCAAGAGUUCAUAUCGACGGGGGAGUUUGGCACCUCGAUGUCGGCUCAUCACAUCCUGGGGCUGUAGCCGGUCCCAAGGGUAUGGCUGUUCGCCAUUUAAAGUGGUACGUGAGCUGGGUUUAAAACGUCGUGAGACAGUUUGGUCCCUAUCUGCCGUGGGCGUUGGACGUUUGAGGGGGGCUGCUCCUAGUACGAGAGGACCGGAGUGGACGCACCUCUGGUGUACCGGUUAUCACGCCAGUGGUAUUGCCGGGUAGCUAAGUGCGGAAGAGAUAAGCGCUGAAAGCAUCUAAGCGCGAAACUUGCCUCGAGAUGAGACGUCCCGUGAUGUAAGUCACCUAAAGGGUCGCGGUAGACCACCGCGUUGAUAGGUCGGGUGUGGAAGCGCAGUAAUGCGUUAAGCUAACCGAUACUAAUUGCCCGUGCGGCUUGAUCCU